CCUGCCUACCAGAGCCCUGCACUCCGUGUUGAGGACGGCUAGAGGUUCAUCUCUUUCGGUCAUUUUAGCCACUCACCGAGGUCUCUCUUUCCCCAUAUCUACUGCCUUUUGUAUGAGCCAUUUUGUAUAAAUUAUUUAUAUUUAAUAUUUCUUGCUUUGUCCAGGCAGGCAUCAGGCCAUCUGGGGUAGGGAGGGACUGGAUUCUCCUCGUUAUCCUGUGUGGAGGUCGCUGGACUGCCUUCUGCCUUGGGGAGUUUGGAACACAGAAAAUCAGGUGGCUGAAACUUGGUGCCACACAGAGCCUCUGUCCUGUUUCUUGGCUGAAGAUGACAAUGUAAUAGUCUGAGAAACACCAGAGAGCUUCUCCCCUCACAAGUCAGGAGAGCCGGCCACAGACAGGCAUGGCAUGCACCUCAAUAAACGCUGCCGUAUGGUUCCUGACUCUGCUUCUUGAAAGCUUGAGGGGACGAGGCCUGGCACCCUUCCCCAUUCCUGUGAGACACAUACUGUAAUUUUGCUCCAAAGACCUAUUCGAUAGUCUUGUCUUCAGUUCCUGCGAUGGGCCAAAGGAACCUAGUGAGUAUACUCUUUCAGCAAAACCAGGAUAGACAGCAAGUCAAUUAUUGUGAGUGCAUCUUUUUAAAAAGCUAGCCAGGUGUCAUGUUGCAUACCUGACAUUCUAGCACUUGGGAGGCAGAGGUGGGUGGAUCUGGAUCUGUGAGUUAGAGGCUAGCCUGGGCUACAUUGUGAGACCCUAUCUCAAAUAAGUUGCUGGUGAUGGGACUCAGUGGGUGACAUGACGGGACUAGGGGAAGGGAGCAGCUGGAGAAGGAGUCUUGGUCAGGAAGGCUGGGAGAUCAUGCCAUGGGACAAAAGAACCAAGAAGGGUCCGAGGCUAGUGUUUGCAGACUUCGUUGUCACACAAUGUCAUUAAAUAACUGCAGAUGUGGAGGAUUUAACCACAACAGCCUCAAAGGUACCUCUUUCAAGAGCAUCCCAACCAGAAAGCUAACCUUGGUCCAUCGUUCCCCCUCUCAGGCCACCUGUAGCCAAGCAAAAGGCCGCUCGCUGCUGGCUGUUCAGGGACCCUUUCCCAGACUCCUGUCACUUUUAGAAGCUGAGAGUGCAGAUGAAUGCAACAGGUUAGAAGUCCUCGGGACAUUGCUGAGAUGACAGCCCGUGGCUUAAAUGAUGUUCAGUCUAGCCAUUAACGGCAAGAAGGUAACCACCACUUUGGUUUUGUUUCCCCAAGACCCUGGCUUAAUAGCACCAGGGAACGUCAAGUUUCAGUCGUAAACUUUGGAUCUUGGCACCCCUAUGCUUUUUGCCUCUUCAAGAUUGAGCACCUAGCUGGGUGCUGGUGGCGCACGCCUUUAAUCCCAGCACUCGGGAGGUAGAGGCAGGCGGAUUUCUAAGUUCGAGGCCAGCCUGGUCUACAGGGUGAGUUUCAGGACAGCCAGGGCUACACAGAGAAAUCCUGUCUUGGAAAAAAAAAUAAGAUUGAGCACCUUUCUAAUCGUACCUGAAGGAAAACAUUUUCAGAUUCGGGGGCCAACAAAUUCACCCCUAGACAUUGAAGGGCAUUCCUGUCUUCUGGAUAAGCUUUCCAGAAUGAACCCUUAACUUGGAGUCUUCAGUUCAGAUAGUAGAUGUGUCAGUUCUUCUCUGCAUGUAAGACACUCCAGUCACUCUUGUCUUUAGCUUUAGCAUGAGAGUGAUCAGAAUGGUCUUACAGGGCUUUUGAAAGCAAGAAAAUGCUUAAACUAAAGAAUUCGUAAGCUGGGCUACCACACAUCUUCAAUCCCAGCCCUUGGAAGCAGAGACAGGUGGAUUUUUGUGCCUGGUCAACAUAGUGAGACCAUGUCUCAUGAAGCAAAAAAGUUACGGAAAUAUUCCAGGAUAAAGAGAAGGAUGGAGACCAACUAGUUCCAGGGAGUUCAGGCUAUAAGAGACAGUAAUUCUGAAAGAGACAAAGAGACACGGGGGUAGGGUGGGGUGGGGUCGGGGGUUCUGAGGGCACUUGCAUUAGAGAAGAACUGUAUUUGGAAAUUUUCUGAACAGAGGAAGUAACGGAGCAGUGAGUCUGGCUCGGACUUCCAUGGCAUUCAUAGGAGAAAUGAAAGAUUCCUGAGGCUUGGUACUCCUUCCUCGGUUUACCUGGGGUUGAGGGUGAAAUACCUACCAAGUACUACAUUCCUAAGAGGAAUACCCAUGAAAGUACCUAGUUCUAAUACCUAUAUAUGUCUGGGUAUCUAGUUGAAAAUUAUGGUUCAAGGGUCUGGAUGAGGCCAAGAUUCGUGCAUUUUUUAGCAACCUCUCAAGUGGUACGGAUGCGGUGGGGCCAUCAGUCACACUUUGAAUAGCAAGUUGGGCUCAGGAAAGAUUUCUCUGAGGCAAAGAUGCUUGAACUGACAGCCAAAGGUUGAAAGAACCUUACAGGAGAAGCCUUUGGCCUAGGAACCAGCUCCUGCAAAGGCCCUCGGAUGCUGGGAAAAUAAAGAGGGCCAGCCAGGUGGUCGGAGUGAAGAGUGUGGGGAGGGUGGAAUGUGGCUACAGAGAGCAUGUGACCAGGCAUGUAGAGAUCAUGUGACCUGGCAUGUCGGCCCAGGUGUGGCAUUGUCUAGAGUAUUUUUCUUGGAAAGAGAAGUUAUUGAAGGCAGUUGAGCAAGAAAGAGACCAAAUCAGACCUUCAUUUGGAGUUCUGACAAGGUGGUUCACCAUACAGGCCUGGAAAUCACUCUUUUCUCCAGAACCCUUGAAAAGAUGGAAGACAGGAACUGUCAAGUUAGCCUCUGACCUCCAACAAACACAGCAUGGCCUGCAUACCUACACACACGCAUCAUGUACUUGCACAGUAAUACAUUUUUAAAAAAAUGAAACAUCUGCAUUAUAAAAAAAAAAGAUGGAUCCAUCUGCAUCACAAGUAACAUGGAGAGAAGCAGAGUGGCCUCUGCACACCAGUCAGUCCACCCUGAGUGAGAGGACUGUGGAGUAGCAGAGUAGGAAGAGUUUUAUAAGGGUCUUGACAUGAGAUGAAGGCAUUCCAAGGGCACACACCGAACAUCGGACCUCACCAUCGGUGGAUGGUGAAGGCACCGUUGUUUCAAAGAGGGAAGCAUUCGAAGAUACCCAGAUUAAUGGAGAGGGUGUUGCAUGAUUGUUCUCUUGAGGCCUCUAUGAGACAUUCACGCUUAUGUGGGCUCCCAAGAGGUUGCUUCACCGACUUGGGACUCUAAGAAGAGGUGGGAACAGGAAGCAGUUGUGUCUUGUCUGGGUCGACGGUGUCUAAUACAAAUAGUGCGGAGGUAAAGGCAUGAGAUGGUAAGGUACACAUAACGCUGAACAGGAGAAGGAACAUGUGACUGCCAUGGAGAAAAUGGACAGGAGAAAAAAGCCACAAGGUGAGACUUGGCAGUCAAGGGAGGAAGGUUAGAAGGUGGUCAGCAGUGCCAAACGUUGCUGGAAAAUGGUGAUCCAACCGAGUUCGGUGUGGGGAAACGCAGAGACUUGUUCCCCUGAAGAGAAUGGAAGCUAAAGAGCAGAAGCAGGGUGCCAACGGAUUCGUCCAUCUGCAUAAACCACACUCCCCUAGAAACCACCUCUAAGGGCAUUUUGUCCAUCCUUUAAUCCUUCGCACACUGCCUGGGAUACAGUAGGCACUUACUAAAUUGUAUCGAUAAAAUUAAUGUGAAAGGGUGGAGAAUGGAAGGAUGAACGAGUGACAGGGAAGAACUGGAAUAAGGAGGCAUCUCAGGCGCUUGUCCCCGCUAUAUCCUUCACUUUUUUUUUUUAAACCGCAAUGGCCUGCAGCUCCCAAGAAACAAACGAUGGAGACCCCAGCCCAUCCUUCAACGGGGGGCCUUGGCCCCCCUUUAUCUCUGACGAACAGUCUGGACCCAGGUUCUGCUGACGUGGGAAGGGGAGGAGAGUCUGGAGGAAGGGGAGGGGAAAGCAGCGCAGAGACCGUAGAGACGGAGGAGGCGCCCGCGGCUGCAGAGCUGCAGAGCGGGGUCUCCCGGCCCUCUGCGUCCUAGCUCUCCGCACCUAGCCCAGCCAGACAGCAGCUCAUUCUCUCGGCGCGGCCCAUAGGGCCCCAGCGGUCGGCAAGCUGGCUCCCCGAGUAGCCACCGGGACCCCCGAGCCCAAUGGCGGGGGCGGCAACAAAAUCGACAGCGCCGUGGAGAUCGCCCCCGGCUCCAAUGGACAGGUCGGGAGCCUCGGAGAUGCGGUCCCCCCCGAGCAGCUGCAGGGUGAGCGGGAGCGCCGGCGGGAGGGGGAGGGCGACGCGCUGGGCAGCAGCCUGUCGCUGGCCGCGCCCCCGGGACCCCUCAGCUUCGAGGCUCUGCUCGCCCAGGUGGGGGCCCUGGGUGGCGGCCAGCAGCUGCAGCUCGGCCUGUGCUGCCUGCCCGUGCUUUUCGUGGCGCUGGGCAUGGCCUCAGACCCCAUCUUCACGCUGGCGCCCCCGCUGCACUGCCACUACGGCGCCUUGCCCCCCAACGCUUCGGGCUGGGAGCAGCCCCCCAACUCCAGCGGCGUCAGUGUCGCCGGCGCGGCCCUAGCAGCCAGCGCCGCCAGCGGAGUCGUCACCAGUACGGACCCCUCGUGCAGUGGCUUCGCCCCACCAGACUUCAACCACUGCCUGAAGGACUGGGACUAUAACGGACUGCCCGUGCUCACCACCAAUGCCAUCGGCCAGUGGGAUCUGGUGUGUGACCUGGGCUGGCAGGUGAUCCUGGAGCAGAUCCUCUUCAUCUUGGGCUUUGCCUCCGGCUACCUGUUCCUCGGUUACCCCGCGGACAGGUUUGGCCGUCGUGGGAUUGUGCUGCUGACCUUGGGGCUUGUGGGUCCCUGUGGAGUGGGAGGAGCUGCUGCAGGCUCCUCUACAGGCAUUAUGGCUCUUCGGUUUCUCCUGGGCUUCCUGCUAGCUGGUGUUGACCUUGGUGUCUACCUGAUGCGCCUGGAGCUGUGCGACCCAACCCAGAGGCUUCGGGUGGCCCUGGCAGGGGAGUUGGUAGGGGUGGGAGGGCACUUCCUGUUCCUGGGCCUGGCCCUUGUCUCUAAGGACUGGCGAUUUCUACAGCGAAUGAUCACCGCUCCCUGCAUCCUCUUCCUGUUUUAUGGCUGGCCUGGUCUGUUUCUGGAGUCUGCACGGUGGCUGAUAGUGAAGCGGCAGAUUGAGGAAGCCCAGUCUGUGCUGAGGAUCCUGGCUGAGCGAAACCGGCCCCAUGGGCAGAUGCUGGGAGAAGAGGCCCAGGAAGCUUUGCAGGAACUGGAGAAUACCUGUCCUCUCCCUGCAACGUCCACCUUUUCCUUUGCGUCCCUCCUCAACUACCGCAACAUCUGGAAAAAUCUGCUUAUCCUGGGCUUCACCAAGUGAGCCUGGCUGUCUGAGCUGAGGGCCAGCUUUAUUGCCCAUGCCAUUCGCCACUGCUACCAGCCUGUGGGAGGAGGAGGCAGCCCAUCAGACUUCUACUUGUGCUCUCUGCUGGCCAGUGGCACAGCCGCCCUGGCCUGUGUCUUCCUGGGGGUGACUGUGGACCGUUUUGGCCGUCGGGGCAUCCUGCUUCUCUCAAUGACUCUCACGGGGAUUGCAUCCCUGGUCCUGCUGGGGCUGUGGGAUUAUCUGAACGAUGCUGCCAUCACAACCUUCUCUGUCCUUGGCCUCUUCUCCUCCCAAGCUUCUGCUAUCCUCAGUACCCUCCUUGCUUCUGAAGUCAUCCCCACCACUGUCCGCGGCCGUGGCCUGGGCCUUAUCAUGGCACUUGGGGCGCUCGGGGGGCUGAGCUGUCCAGCUCAGCGCCUCCACAUGGGCCAUGGAGCCUUCCUGCAGCAUGUGGUACUGGCGGCCUGUGCCCUCCUCUGUAUCCUCAGCAUCAUGCUGUUGCCAGAGACCAAGCGCAAGCUUCUGCCAGAGGUACUCCGGGAUGGGGAACUGUGCCGCCGGCCUUCCCUGCUGAGGCAGCCACCUCCUAACCGCUGUGACCAUGUCCCGCUGCUAGCCACUCCUAACCCUGCCCUCUAAGCAGCCUUUGAGCCUAGUGGGAGGCCAGCCAUCCAGAAAAGUAGCAGAGGGCUAGAAAGAUAGACAGGAAGGCAAGGCUACCCCAUACAAAAGGCUCAAAGGCGCCUCAUGCCAACCGUCUAGGAGAGCUCAGAGGGCCGUUCCCAACCCCAUCUCCUCCCUGCUGCUUUCUGUUCACUCCGUCAGCAAGAGUCAGGCCAGGGGAGAGCAUCACGCUAUAACCAUUAGGUCUGGGCUCCAUCCUAUGCCCAAAGACAUUUCCCAGACCUCGCUCUUUCUCGCUCUUUCAUUCUGUUUCAAUAAAAGACAUUUUGAAUAAAUGAGCAUAUCAUAGCCUGGA